rnacentral:rRNA from 1 species
CCUACGGGAGGCAGCAGUCGAGAAUCAUUCACAAUGGGGGAAACCCUGAUGGUGCGACGCCGCGUGGGGGAAUGAAGGUCUUCGGAUUGUAAACCCCUGUCAUGUGGGAGCAAAUUAAAAAGAUAGUACCACAAGAGGAAGAGACGGCUAACUCUGUGCCAGCAGCCGCUGUAAUACAGAGGUCUCAAGCGUUGUUCGGAAUCACUGGGCGUAAAGCGUGCGUAGGCUGUUUCGUAAGUCGUGUGUGAAAGGCGCGGGCUCAACCCGCGGACGGCACAUGAUACUGCGAGACUAGAGUAAUGGAGGGGGAACCGGAAUUCUCGGUGUAGCAGUGAAAUGCGUAGAUAUCGAGAGGAACACUCGUGGCGAAGGCGGGUUUCUGGACAUUAACUGACGCUGAGGCACGAAGGCCAGGGGAGCGAAAGGGAUUAGAUACCCCUGUAGUC